rnacentral:rRNA from 1 species
AACGUAGGAGACAAACGUUAUCCGGAGUUACUGGGCGUAAAGGGCGUGUAGGUGGUAAUGUAAGUCUGGCGUGAAAUUUUCGGCUUAACCGGGAAAGGUCGUCGGGAUACUGCAUCACUAGAGGACGGUAGAGGCGUGUGGAAUUCCGGGUGUAGUGGUGAAAUGCGUAGAGAUCCGGAGGAAACACCAGUGGCGAAGGCGACACGCUGGGCCGUACCUGACACUGAUGCGCGACAGCAUGGGGAGCAAACAGG